rnacentral:tRNA from 7 species
GCUCAAGUAGUUAAAAGUGCAUUAACAUCGCAUUCGUAAUGCGAAGGUCGUAGGUUCGACUCCUAUUAUCGGCACCA